rnacentral:lncRNA from 1 species
UAUAUUGUACUCUCCCAAAUGUUCAGUACAGUCCUCUGCACACGGUGAGUACUCAAUAAAUAUGAUUGAUUGUUUAACUGGUAUUUAAUUCUUGAAUUAACAGGGCUCACUCAUCUUUCUCAAAUAUUAAUUGCUGGAAAAGAUGCUUUAUUUUUUCAUGCUGGAAUAACAUGUAACACCAUCCCGGAGACAACGAGAUGGAUGCGGCAGUGCCAGAACCGGGAAAGUUUCACCAGGAGCACACGGACAUGGGUCGGUCCUCUCUCCAUACCACCCCGAUACACCCCUGAUGGUAUCUACACAGUCGUGACAGACAAUGGUCCCGAUCUUCCUUUUACUUCCCCCUCUAUGCUCCUCGGGGCCGUGGACCUGUCUGAACCUCCCCCAGAAAUGAAUACAUGUCCUUUCGUGUUGAGCUCACCCGCCUGCCUGUUGGAGCCGGAGCUGCCCCCGGUAAUGCUCCGGGAGCUGCCCCAGGAGCUUUCCCCGGAGGAUAAGUGCUACUUCUAUGUGAUUUCAGCCAAAGGGAGACCCCUUCCUUCUUCCUUAUCUUCUAUGGAGAACUCAGACCCGACUUUUCCACCGACGCCUCCUGUUCUUUCCGUGGUCUUUGCCACCGCCUGGCGUUGUCCUUGAGUCUGAGGAAUGGUUGACAGGCUGACGGAGAGGGCUGUAAAGUCCUCUAACUAUUGGAAAAGCAAUGCCCGAAAGUACUUCAAUACUAAAUCAGUCCCAUUUUGACAUGGACCAAGUCAUUACUCGAAGACAAAUGCUGAGGCUAUAGACUUAUUUGUAUCGGCUGAAGUUGACGGACUGAGCUUUGGAAAUUUUCCAUGACGGGAAAAUAGCAAGAGGAAAAAAAAAAAAAGGCUUUCUUGGCACAGUUGCCGGCUUGUCCGACGCUCGCCGCCUUUGAACCUUGCAACGACACCGUAAGCUGGAUUCCAAAGUGAUUCUGAGCCUGAGAAACCUAAAACCAAAAGGUCCUUGGAAGGCUCGGGCCUUUACCCUCUCCAAAUCCGAGCUGCCACUUGGUCAAACUUAACAAAACUCAAUGGUGCGGAUCGAACACUUGGGGAACGAAGACGAAGGAGGUGCAGGUUCGUGGGCGGGAAAUGGAAAGUUGGGCUGAAAAUAGGGCUGUGCUUCCAAGAGAUCCAUCUCAUGGUUUAGAAGCUUCCUACAUCUGCUGAAGACAAGGGAGCCCAUUUUUCUCUCCAGGGCCUGGC